rnacentral:rRNA from 1 species
GUGGAUCAGUGGCGAACGGGUGAGUAACACGUGAGCAAUCUGCCCCUGACUCUGGGAUAAGCGCUGGAAACGGCGUCUAAUACUGGAUACGAGCCGUGAAGGCAUCUUCAACGGUUGGAAAGAUUUUUCGGUCAGGGAUGAGCUCGCGGCCUAUCAGCUUGUUGGUGAGGUAAUGGCUCACCAAGGCGUCGACGGGUAGCCGGCCUGAGAGGGUGACCGGCCACACUGGGACUGAGACACGGCCCAGACUCCUACGGGAGGCAGCAGUGGGGAAUAUUGCACAAUGGGCGCAAGCCUGAUGCAGCAACGCCGCGUGAGGGAUGACGGCCUUCGGGUUGUAAACCUCUUUUAGCAGGGAAGAAGCGAAAGUGACGGUACCUGCAGAAAAAGCGCCGGCUAACUACGUGCCAGCAGCCGCGGUAAUACGUAGGGCGCAAGCGUUAUCCGGAAUUAUUGGGCGUAAAGAGCUCGUAGGCGGUUUGUCGCGUCUGCUGUGAAAUCCCGAGGCUCAACCUCGGGUCUGCAGUGGGUACGGGCAGACUAGAGUGCGGUAGGGGAGAUUGGAAUUCCUGGUGUAGCGGUGGAAUGCGCAGAUAUCAGGAGGAACACCGAUGGCGAAGGCAGAUCUCUGGGCCGUAACUGACGCUGAGGAGCGAAAGGGUGGGG